rnacentral:RNase_P_RNA from 1 species
GUUGGUGAGAAGAAAGCUUGAGGAGCGACUCACGGGUGCUCAGUCACUCCAAUUAGCUCCUGGGAAGGUCUGAGACAAGGUCGUUUAACCUUCUAGCAGGGGGGUCGUGUAAUACGCGACAGGGCUGUACGAGAAAAGGCCGAUAGCCACACGCGUGACGCAAGAUGGGUGGGAGAACUGCCCGGACGUUUGGUGUGUGUGGCUGUCGUUUGGAGACGGUGCUGGUCGGCGGUGCUGAGUGCGAUAGCUUGUGGUAAACUCAAUUCAGACUACUCUCUCGCCAAC